rnacentral:rRNA from 1 species
UGCAGUCGAACGAUGAUGAGGAGCUUGCUUCUCUGAUUAGUGGCGAACGGGUGAGUAACACGUGAGCAAUCUGCCCUUGACUCUGGGAUAAGCGUUGGAAACGACGUCUAAUACCGGAUACGACCUUUGGAGGCAUCUCUGGGGGUGGAAAGAAUUUUGGUCAAGGAUGAGCUCGCGGCCUAUCAGCUAGUUGGUGAGGUAAUGGCUCACCAAGGCGACGACGGGUAGCCGGCCUGAGAGGGUGACCGGCCACACUGGGACUGAGACACGGCCCAGACUCCUACGGGAGGCAGCAGUGGGGAAUAUUGCACAAUGGGCGAAAGCCUGAUGCAGCAACGCCGCGUGAGGGACGACGGCCUUCGGGUUGUAAACCUCUUUUAGUAGGGAAGAAGCGAUGUGCUUGCCACAAAGUGACGGUACCUGCAGAAAAAGCACCGGCUAACUACGUGCCAGCAGCCGCGGUAAUACGUAGGGUGCAAGCGUUGUCCGGAAUUAUUGGGCGUAAAGAGCUCGUAGGCGGUUUGUCGCGUCUGCUGUGAAAACCCGAGGCUCAACCUCGGGCCUGCAGUGGGUACGGGCAGACUAGAGUGCGGUAGGGGAGAUUGGAAUUCCUGGUGUAGCGGUGGAAUGCGCAGAUAUCAGGAGGAACACCAAUGGCGAAGGCAGAUCUCUGGGCCGUAACUGACGCUGAGGAGCGAAAGCAUGGGGAGCGAACAGGAUUAGAUACCCUGGUAGUCCAUGCCGUAAACGUUGGGAACUAGAUGUGGGGACCAUUCCACGGUCUCCGUGUCGCAGCUAACGCAUUAAGUUCCCCGCCUGGGGAGUACGGCCGCAAGGCUAAAACUCAAAGGAAUUGACGGGGGCCCGCACAAGCGGCGGAGCAUGCGGAUUAAUUCGAUGCAACGCGAAGAACCUUACCAAGGCUUGACAUAUAGAGGAAACGUCUGGAAACAGUCGCCCCGCAGGUCUCUAUACGGGUGGUGCAUGGUUGUCGUCAGCUCGUGUCGUGAGAUGUUGGGUUAAGUCCCGCAACGAGCGCAACCCUCGUCCUAUGUUGCCGCACGUAAUGGUGGGAACUCAUGGGAUACUGCCGG